CCUCAAUACAACAUCCAAACGCUCUUUGAACACCACCAGGCUCGGUGACUCCACCACCUCCCUGGGCAGCCCAUUCCAGUGCCUGACCACCCUUUCAGAGAAGUAGUAUUUCCUAACGUCCAGCCUGAACCUUCCCUGGCACAGCUUGAAGCCAUUCCCUCUAGUCCUAUCACUAUCACAUGAGAGAAGAGGCUGAUCUCCAGCUCACUACAACCUCCCUUCAGGUAGUUAUAGAGAGCAAUAAGGUCUCCCCUGAGCCUCCUCUUCUCUAGACUGAACAAUCCCAGCUCCUUCAGCCACUCUUCAUAAGGCCUGUGCUCCAGACCCCUCACCAGCUUUGUUGCCCUCCUCUGGACACACUCCAGGGCCUCAAUGUCUUUCUUACAGUGAGGGGCCCAAAACUGGACACAGUACUCGAGGUGCGGCCUCACCAGUGCUGAGUACAGGGGGAUAAUUACUUCCCUGUUCCUGCUGGCCACACUAUUUCUGAUACAAGCUGGGAUGCCAUUGGCCUUCUUGGCCACCUGGGCACACUGCUGGCUCAUGUUCAGUCUAGCGUCGAUCAACACUCCCAGGUC
ensembl:lncRNA